rnacentral:rRNA from 1 species
CCCUUCGAUGUUCUGGGCUGCACGCGCGCUACACUGAUGCGUUCAACGAGUGUACAACCUUGCCCGAUAGGGUUGGGUAACCUUUUGAACACGCAUCGUGAUGGGGAUUGAUUAUUGCAAUUAUUAAUCAUCAACGAGGAAUUCCUAGUAAUGGCGGAUCAUCAGUUCGUCGUGAUUACGUCCCUGCCCUUUGUACACACCGCCCGUCGCUCCUACCGAUUGAGCAAUCCGGUGAAUUCUUCGGACCGAGGUCUUGCGGGCAACCGUAAGAUCAUGGAAAGUUGUGUAAACCUUAUUGCUUAGAGGAAGGAGAAGUCGUANCA